rnacentral:sRNA from 1 species
UAUUGUGUUGGUCAUUCCUUCCUGCUUCCAACAGAUUGAUAAAUUAGGAGAACAAAUCAAGGUCAAUAGUUCUAUUGCUGCUGAUAAAUGGUCACAUUUAAUCCAGUUUUUAAGUGCUGCUAUUUCCCAGACACAGUCCAAAGAUUUAUGUUUUUCCUGCUGAAGAUGAUGAAUGAGGCAGCAGACAUCUUGAAAGGAGCUGAUUUCGAGUUCCUUCAACAGUCUUUUCAUUUUAUUUAGGAAGAAGCUCAUCAGUCACUUCAAACCAGGUACAAUAAGCAGUAAUGUUUGUACUGUAGAUAUUAGGAAUUAGUGUUGCAAACAGAAAGAGAUUAAUUUUUUCCUUCUCAUGAUUAAACUAUUCUUACCAUAAUAAUAAUAAUGUUUUAAUCUGUGAGGAAAUGUGUUUUACAUAUGUUUACUGUAUAUUGGAGUGGGGGCAGGGCUG